rnacentral:rRNA from 1 species
UCGAGAAUCUUCGGCAAUGGACGAAAGUCUGACCGAGCGACGCCGCGUGCGGGACGAAGGCCUUCGGGUUGUAAACCGCUGUCGUAGAGGAUCAAAGGUAAUUGGGUUCUCCCUUUUAUUUGAGUGAUUCUAGGAGGAAGGAGAGGCUAAGCUCGUGCCAGCAGCCGCGGUAAGACGAGCUCUCCAAACGUUAUUCGGUAUCACUGGGCUUAAAGAGUUCGUAGGCGGCUUUGUAGGUGGGGUGUGAAAG